rnacentral:sRNA from 1 species
UUUUAGCCCUGAUGGAAGCGGCAUCCUCUUGUCUCGUCCUUUUUGACGAGACAAGAGAUAUAGCGUACAGCAGGACUUCAC